rnacentral:rRNA from 1 species
GACGAACGCUCGCCGCGUGCUCAACACAUGCAACCCGAACGGAAAGGCCCUGCUUUUGUGUGGUGCUCGAGUGGCGAACGGGUGAGUAACACGUGAGUAACCUGCCCUUGACUUUGGGAUAACUUCAGGAAACUGUGGCUAAUACCGGAUAGGAGCUCCUGCUGCAUGGGGUGGGUUGGAAAGUUUCGGCGGUUGGGGAUGGACUCGCGGCUUAUCAGCUUGUUGGUGGGGUAGUGGCUUACCAAGGCUUUGACGGGUAGCCGGCCUGAGAGGGUGACCGGCAACAUUGGGACUGAGAUACGGCCCAGACUCAUACGGGAGGCAGCAGUGGGGAAUAUUGCGCAAUGGGCGGAAGCCUGAUCCAGCACCGCCGCGUGCGGGAUGAAGGACUUCGGGUUGUAAACCGCUUUCGCCUGUGACGAAGCGUGAGUGAGGAUAAUGAGUAGAGACACAGGGGGUGAGUACCAG